rnacentral:rRNA from 1 species
UGCUGACGAGCGGCGGACGGGUGAGUAAUGCUUAGGAAUCUGCCUGGUAGUGGGGGAUAGCCCGGGGAAACCCGGAUUAAUACCGCGUACGCCCUUCGGGGGAAAGCAGGGGAUCUUCGGACCUUGCGCUAUCAGAUGAGCCUAAGCCGGAUUAGCUAGUUGGUGGGGUAAAGGCCCACCAAGGCGACGAUCCGUAGCUGGUCUGAGAGGAUGAUCAGCCACAUCGGGACUGAGACACGGCCCGAACUCCUACGGGAGGCAGCAGUGGGGAAUAUUGGACAAUG